GGCUAUUAGGUCUAUAUGGUAGAGCUCGGGCAUGGUACUCGAUCGAUAGCCUUGAACAUAUAUGCCGUCGCGUACAGCAGCUAGCAUAUCCCACGAGUGUCGCUAAUAGGCGAGAAGGCAGAGUAGUCACGGUAUAGGCUGGCAGCGCAUGUGGGUGUUGGCUACAACCGGUUCCCUCGGAUGUUUAGUGUUGUGUAGAAAAGACGCUUGAUCGCUCCGCUGAAACGUUCAUACUAUCCAAAAUAGGAACACCAUCCCAACGCUGAAUAAUCGGUGUACAGAAUCCUCGGCAUUUUAUUACAUAAUUCCUUAUCAAACCCGAUAAAACAAUGCAUUGUGGUUUCGUGCUUGCGCUCAUGCUUGCUGGGCUCGCCGUCGGCGAUGCUCUAAAGUGCUACAGUUGCCAGUGGGGGAA